AUACGUAGGUGACAAGCGUUAUCCGGAUUUACUGGGCGUAAAGGGCGUGUAGGCGGUCUUGCAAGUCAGAAGUGAAAUUCCUGAGCUCAACUCGGGCGCUGCUUCUGAAACUGCAGGACUUGAGUGCUGGAGGGGAUAGCGGAAUUCCUAGUGGAGCGGUAAAAUGCGCAGAUAUUAGGAAGAACACCGGUGGCGAAGGCGGCUAUCUGGACAGUAACUGACGCGGAGGCGCGAAAGCGUGGGGAGCAAACAGGAUUAGAUCCCCUGGUAGUCCACGCCGUAAACGAUGAAUACUAGGUGUAGGGGGUAUCGACUCCCUCUGUGCCGUAGUUAACACAAUAAGUAUUCCGCCUGGGGAGUACGGCCGCAAGGUUGAAACUCAAAUGAAUUGACGGGG
rnacentral:rRNA from 1 species